rnacentral:rRNA from 1 species
AACGAACGCUGGCGGCAGGCUUAACACAUGCAAGUCGAACGCCCAGCAAGGGGAGUGGCAGACGGGUGAGUAACGCGUGGGAAUCUACCCAGAUCUUCGGAACAACUGAGGGAAACUUCAGCUAAUACCGGAUACGCCCUACGGGGGAAAGAUUUAUCGGUUCUGGAUGAGCCCGCGUUGGAUUAGCUAGUUGGUGGGGUAAUGGCCUACCAAGGCGACGAUCCAUAGCUGGUCUGAGAGGAUGAUCAGCCACACUGGGACUGAGACACGGCCCAGACUCCUACGGGAGGCAGCAGUGGGGAAUAUUGGACAAUGGGCGAAAGCCUGAACCAGCCAUGCCGCGUGAGUGAUGAAGGCCUUAGGGUUGUAAAGCUCUUUCAGUGGGGAAGAUAAUGACGGUACCCACAGAAGAAGCCCCGGCUAACUUCGUGCCAGCAGCCGCCGUAAAAC